rnacentral:lncRNA from 1 species
AAAACCGAAGCAUUAAGAGAAAAUCUGACAGGGUUUAAUUGUUUAUCAGGUCAAGAUCUAUCUGCCCUGAUGUUUUCACAUGGAUUGGACAACCCGUUGUUAGGUUACUGUCCUGAAUUGGUAAUUUUAAGGAAAUUUUUCCGUUUUUUGUUAUUAUCUUGAAUAUUAUUAUAGAUAGAGAUAAACUGUACACAGCAAUAACGUUCAGCAAAAU